rnacentral:rRNA from 1 species
UGGGGAAUUUUGGACAAUGGGCGCAAGCCUGAUCCAGCCAUGCCGCGUGCGGGAAGAAGGCCUUCGGGUUGUAAACCGCUUUUGUCAGGGAAGAAACGAGUUUCUCUAAUACAGAUACUUAAUGACGGUACCUGAAGAAUAAGCACCGGCUAACUACGUGCCAGCAGCCGCGGUAAUACGUAGGGUGCAAGCGUUAAUCGGAAUUACUGGGCGUAAAGCGUGCGCAGGCGGUUAUAUAAGACAGAUGUGAAAUCCCCGGGCUCAACCUGGGACCUGCAUUUGUGACUGUAUAGCUAGAGUACGGUAGAGGAGGAUGGAAUUCCGCGUGUAGCAGUGAAAUGCGUAGAUAUGCGGAGGAACACCGAUGGCAAAGGCAAUCCCCUGGACCUGUACUGACGCUCAUGCACGAAAGCGUGGGGAGCAAACA